GACGAACGCUGGCGGCGUGCUUAACACAUGCAAGUCGAACGGAAAGGCCCUGCUUGCAGGGUACUCGAGUGGCGAACGGGUGAGUAACACGUGGGUGAUCUGCCCUGCACUUCGGGAUAAGCCCGGGUAACUGGGUCUAAUACCGGAUAGGAGCCAUUCUUAGUGUGAUGGUUGGAAAGUUUUUUCGGUGUAGGAUGAGCUCGCGGCCUAUCAGCUUGUUGGUGGGGUAAUGGCCUACCAAGGCGGCGACGGGUAGCCGGCCUGAGAGGGUGGACGGCCACAUUGGGACUGAGAUACGGCCCAGACUCCUACGGGAGGCAGCAGUGGGGAAUAUUGCACAAUGGGCGCAAGCCUGAUGCAGCGACGCCGCGUGGGGGAUGACGGCCUUCGGGUUGUAAACUCCUUUCGCUAGGGACGAAGCUUUUGUGACGGUACCUAGAUAAGAAGCACCGGCUAACUACGUG
rnacentral:rRNA from 1 species